rnacentral:rRNA from 1 species
GACAGAGGGUGCAAACGUUGUUCGGAAUUACUGGGCGUAAAGUGUGCGCAGGCGGCCGCGCAAGUCGAAUGUGUGAAAGCCCCGAGCUUAACUUGGGAAUUGCGCUCGAAACUACGUGGCUGGAGUGUGGCAGAGGAAGGUGGAAUUCCAGGUGUAGCGGUGAAAUGCGUAGAGAUCUGGAGGAACACCGAUGGCGAAGGCAGCCUUCUGGGCCAACACUGAACGCUCAUGCACGAAAGCGUGGGGAGCGAAACAGGA